CCUACGGGAGGCAGCAGUGGGGAAUAUUGGACAAUGGGCGAAAGCCUGAUCCAGCAAUGCCGCGUGAGUGAUGAAGGCCUUCGGGUCGUAAAGCUCUUUUACCAGGGACGAUAAUGACAGUACCUGGAGAAUAAGCUCCGGCUAACUCCGUGCCAGCAGCCGCGGUAAUACGGAGGGAGCUAGCGUUGUUCGGAAUUACUGGGCGUAAAGAGUACGUAGGCGGUUAUUCAAGUCAGAGGUGAAAGCCCGGGGCUCAACCCCGGAACUGCCUUUGAAACUAGAUAACUAGAGUCUUGGAGAGGUUAGUGGAAUUCCGAGUGUAGAGGUGAAAUUCGUAGAUAUUCGGAAGAACACCAGUGGCGAAGGCGACUAACUGGACAAGUACUGACGCUGAGGUACGAAAGCGUGGGGAGCAAACAGGAUUAGAUACCCUGGUAGUCCACGCCGUAAACGAUGAUAACUAGUUGUUCGGUCACUUGGUGACUGAGUGACGCAGCUAACGCAUUAAGUUAUCCGCCUGGGGAGUACGGUCGCAAGAUUAAAACUCAAAGGAAUUGACGG
rnacentral:rRNA from 1 species